rnacentral:rRNA from 1 species
UGGGGAAUAUUGGACAAUGGGCGCAAGCCUGAUCCAGCCAUGCCGCGUGGGUGAAGAAGGCCCUAGGGUUGUAAAGCCCUUUCAGCGGGGACGAUAAUGACGGUACCCGCAGAAGAAGCCCCGGCUAACUUCGUGCCAGCAGCCGCGGUAAUACGAAGGGGGCUAGCGUUGUUCGGAUUUACUGGGCGUAAAGGGCGCGUAGGCGGAUCGUUCAGUCGGGGGUGAAAUUCCAGGGCUCAACCCUGGGACUGCCUUUGAUACUGGCGGUCUGGAGAUCGGGAGAGGUGAGUGGAAUUCCGAGUGUAGAGGUGAAAUUCGUAGAUAUUCGGAGGAACACCAGAAGCGAAGGCGGCUCACUGGCCCGAGACUGACGCUGAGGCGCGAAAGCGUGGGGAGCAAACAG